rnacentral:rRNA from 1 species
CGUAACAAGGUCUCCGUAGGUGAACCUGCGGAGGGAUCAUUACACAAAUAUGAAGGCGGGCUGGAACCUCUCGGGGUUACAGCCUUGCUGAAUUAUUCACCCUUGUCUUUUGCGUACUUCUUGUUUCCUUGGUGGGUUCGCCCACCACUAGGACAAACAUAAACCUUUUGUAAUUGCAAUCAGCGUCAGUAACAAAUUAAUAAUUACAACUUUCAACAACGGAUCUCUUGGUUCUGGGAUCGAUGAAGAACGCAGCGAAAUGCGAUAAGUAGUGUGAAUUGCAGAAUUCAGUGAAUCAUCGAAUCUUUGAACGCACAUUGCGCCCUUUGGUAUUCCAAAGGGCAUGCCUGUUCGAGCGUCAUUUGUACCCUCAAGCUUUGCUUGGUGUUGGGCGUCUUGUCUCUAGCUUUGCUGGAGACUCGCCUUAAAGUAAUUGGCAGCCGGCCUACUGGUUUCGGAGCGCAGCACAAGUCGCACUCUCUAUCAGCAAAGGUCUAGCAUCCAUUAAGCCUUUUUUUCAACUUUUGACCUCGGAUCAGGUAGGGAUACCCGCUGAACUUAAGCAUAUCA